AUCCAGAUGAUGAGUCCUAAAUAGGAUGAAAUGCUUAUCCUGGAU
rnacentral:hammerhead_ribozyme from 1 species